rnacentral:rRNA from 12 species
UGACCUCGAAUCAGGUAGGAAUACCCGCUGAACUUAA